rnacentral:rRNA from 1 species
CCUACGGGAGGCAGCAGUGGGGAAUAUUGCACAAUGGGGGAAACCCUGAUGCAGCGACGCCGCGUGAGUGAAGAAGUAAUUCGUUAUGUAAAGCUCUAUCAGCAGGGAAGACAAUGACGGUACCUGAGUAAGAAGCCCCGGCUAACUACGUACCAGCAGCCGAGGGAAUACGUAGGGGGCAAGCGUUGUCCGGAUUUACUGGGUGUAAAGGGCGGGUAGCCGGGUUUACAAUGCAGAUUUGAAAUCCUGCGGCUUAACCGCAGAACUGCAUUUGAAACUGUUGAUCGUGAGUACUGGAGAGGCCGACGGCAUUCCUAGUGGAGCGGUGUAAUGCGUAGAUAUUAGGAGGAACCCCGGCGGCGAAGGCGGCCUGCUGGACCGUACCUGACGUUUGGGCUCGAAAGCGUGGGGAGCAAACAGGAUUAGAUACCCUUGUAGUC